rnacentral:rRNA from 1 species
ACGUAGGCAGCGAGCGUUGUUCGGAGUUACUGGGCGUAAAGAGUGUGUAGGCGGUGUCGUAAGUUCGGUGUGAAAUCUCCCGGCUUAACUGGGAGGGUGCGCCGGAUACUGCGAGACUCGAGUACGGGAGAGGGAAGCGGAAUUCCUGGUGUAGCGGUGAAAUGCGUAGAUAUCAGGAGGAACACCUGCGGUGUAGACGGCUUCCUGGACCGUUACUGACGCUGAGACACGAAAGCGUGGGGAGCAAACAGGA